rnacentral:tRNA from 1 species
UUAAUAGAAGCCAAAAAGAGGCCUUUCAUUGUUAAUGAAAAAAUUGACUCAAAAGUCCUAUUAAA